GCUUUCGUGGCGUAACGGUAGCUCACUUGGUUCGUAUUCGAGAGUUCCAGUUUCGCGUCCCGGCGAAAGCA
rnacentral:tRNA from 1 species